UACGAAGGGGGCUAGCGUUGUUCGGAAUUACUGGGCGUAAAGCGCGCGUAGGCGGAUCUGCAAGUCGGGGGUGAAAUCCCGAGGCUCAACCUCGGAACUGCCUUCGAUACUGCGGGUCUCGAGUCCGGGAGAGGUGAGUGGAAUUCCUAGUGUAGAGGUGAAAUUCGUAGAUAUUAGGAAGAACACCAGUGGCGAAGGCGGCUCACUGGCCCGGUACUGACGCUGAGGCGCGAAAAGCGUGGGGAGCAAACAGG
rnacentral:rRNA from 1 species